rnacentral:lncRNA from 1 species
UUUUUUUUUUUACUUCCCCAUAUUUCUUAAUCUCUGAGAGUAAUUCCUACUCUACAGUACUUUAUUGUUUGUAAAAACCUUUUAUUACAUGGUUUUUCUUGGCCCUUACACAUAUCUGGUGAAAUAGGAAGGGUAGAGUCCACCAGUGUAUCUAAUUUGUAAGUGGAAGAUAGUCUUGGAGACUACUUGGAUUAUCUCUGAUAAGAGAUCAGUGAGAUUACUCCUUAUAAUCUUCAUAUUUUGGGGGAAGCUUAGUACCAGAGUUUAAAUGUGGAUAUUUUGUAUACAUUCUUUUGUGUUGGGAGGAGGAACGUUAGACUAGAUAAUCUUUUGGAAUCCAGGGGUGGGAAGUACCUUCCUUGAAUCCACCAAGUAUUAUAAACUUGAUGGAUUCUAGCUCACUAUGUUAGACUGAGGGGCAUUUUAGCAAACAAUCAAAGGCAUUAAAUGUUUUAGGGAUUUAUAGUUCUAGGUAGCAGGUUGUUGGAGAAAUUUGGGUCAUGAGCUCCUUCUCUUUGGCCUUUUAUGCAGUUUCUUUUCCUCCUUCAGGUCCAAGAGUCAGGUGGGAAGAUGACCACUGGAGAAUGGGUUAUGUUACAAGUUUAUAAUCAGUUUAUUAUGAAUGAGAAUGAGGCCUUAGCCCCUGUCCACAGCUAUAGAAGUCACUCUUUAGUCAUGUGUCUUUGGUAUAGGCUCAAAGUCAUGAUUCUGCUAAUUUAGAUUUCAAACCUCAAGGAUAAAUUUUGAAAACCUACUAUCCCCAUAGAUUAUUAGGUUUUAAUCUGAUCACAAAUCCCUUUGUAAGAGACAAUAAAUGGUCUUACUUAGUGAUGGGGAACUCCUUGAAUCAACUUGUCUUAUUUCUGAAACUUUGUAAUAUUGAGAUAAAUUUGUUUAAUACAGCUUCAACAAGUUUAUCAUAAUUAUAUUGUACUCCCAUUCAAGAAUAUUGCUUUAUUUUCUCCUGCAUCUUUAGCUACUCUCCUCUUUGCUGCCUUAUGUGCUGCCAGGGACUGUGCUGGGUGAUGGGGAUAUGGAGAUUAAUUAGUCUCAGUCCCUGUGCUCAAGGAGUUCUCAGUUUAGUGAGAAAGAUCAUAUAUACACAGAUAAUUACAACAGUAUGGUAUGCUCUACAAUGGUGGUAUGUAUGAGGUACUAUGGAAUUCAAAAGAAAAACACUUUAAUGAGUCCAGAGAUGCCAGAAGUCAGAGUAACUGAUAUCUUAAAAAAAGUAAAGAUUGAACCACAGGUGGCACACGCCUGUAAUCCCAGCCAUUCAGGAGGCUGAGGCAGGAAGAUCGCAAGUUCAGGGCCAGCCUUGGCACAAUACCCUCUCUAAACAAAUAAAUAAAUGGGACUGAGGAUGUAGAUGGUAGAGUGCCCCUAAUUUCAAUACUCAGUACCCAGGGUUGGGGGGUGGGUAGCAAAUGUUUCCUCAGCAGAAAACAGGGAAAGGACUUUAUAUCAAAGUAUGAACAUUGGAAACAGAAUGAUGCGUUGGGGGAAACUGCAACUAUUUUAUGAAAUUAGGCUACAAAGUUAGAAAUCGAUCCUCACAUCAUGCCAUGGGUUUCAUUGAGGGUGUUUCUAGAAGGGGAUGCUUUUAAUGAUAACUCUGGUAGAAGUGUGAAGUAUGUUCUAGAAGGUGUUGAAAUCUGUACAGGGAUAUGAGUUAAAAGGACACAUUAGUGGCUAAGUUGAGAAAUAGGAGUUGGGAAACAUAUAUAAGAGGAUAUAGACAUAGAUAAUAGAAUUUAUUACAAAAUUAGCAUGGCAAAGAAAGUAAAGUACAGGGUUUUCUGACUUUGGCAAAUGUACACUCCCAUUCUCCCCAUUCCUGGCCUUGAUGAAAAAUCCUCUUGUGUUCUUUGGUCCAUAGCUUGGUGCACACAUUGUACACAAUUCUUUUUGGGAAACAACUGUAUAACAAACAUCGAUUCUCAAGGAACCAUAUGAAUAGCAGCAGCCCUUAUAUAAGUAUUACUAAGUUCCUAUUAUUGUUCAUAAGUAUCAGACCUACUCUCACUGUCAUAUGUCUGAAAGUUUUUUUUAAUUUUAUUUUUUUAGAUAAAAAUAUAGACUUUUGUUUCUAACCCCACUGAAGGAAGAAUGAUAUUAUUCGUUAUAGGCUCAGUUACUUUACUUAGGGACUUAGAAAUUCUUAUACCUGCAAGUAGAAAAAACAAAAAUACAAAUACAACAGUUAAAAAUCCAAAUAUAUUAAGGGUUUUUUUUUUUCUUCCCCUCAAAGCAAUAUAAACAUGGUGUUUUUAGGGGCAUUUUGUACUUUUAAAGCUUAGGUCAUUGCUUAUCUUUGUGAUUCCGAGAAGCACUUUCUGUGAUUAGAAUGAUUAUAUUUUAUUUUCUAAAAUAUUUAUUUUUUAGUUGUAAUUGGACACAAUACCUUUAUUUUAUUUAUUUAUUUUUAUGUGGCACUGAGGAGUGAACCCAGGGCCUCAAAUGUACUAGGCGAGCACUCUACCGCUGAGCCACAACUCCAGGCCCUAGAAUGAUUAUAUUUUAGUAAUAUAUAUAUAUAUAUAUAUAUAUAAUUUUUUUUUUAACAAGGCCUUAUAUAUAUAACCUGCCAUACUCUGGGCAAUACGGAAUGCAGAGUUAGUAAUGUAAGCUCUCAGCAGUGAACUUUGUGGAGUGAGAGUCUCGGACUUGGGACUCAGACUUCUUUUGAUACUUUACAAUGUGGUCUUGAGCAUGAUUCCUUAUCCCUCUAGGAGUUUGUUUCCUUUUAUGGAAAAUAGGAAUAGAAUUUCCUUUCAAGGAUCUGGAAAAAGGGAGUGAAAUGUAAGGAGAUUAUUUAUGGCAAUCAUUUGAAAUAGCUCUGGAAUAUGCUAAAUGACAUAGCAACAUAGUUGUUGCUGAUAAUCGUUGACUACCACAAGGACUAAAAGAUGAUGGUUGACUAUUGUUACUUUUUUCUAGUAAUUAAUGACGUUAGGGUUGAGAAAGAAAGGAAAACUAUGAUUGUUUUCAGUAGAACACUAGUAUGAAGUCACUUCAAAUUUUUCUCUCUGCUAGGAAGAGUAGGAAACCAGGUUAAGCCUUGAGUUCAUGGUCUAGCCAGUGUAACCUACUGCCUUUGCUCAUAGUACCAAAUAGAAAGCUGUGGAAAAGUUGUGUUACAACUGAAUAAAGGUUAUCGUAAAGUGAGAAAAAAAAAUUCUUUGGAGCUAUUCAAAACUGAGUCUAAUUCAACUGCUUACUAGUUAUGUGAUCUAAUAAAUGUUACUUAACGUCAUUGAACCUCUGUUUCUUCAUCCAAUGAUUAAUUUUCAGGGGUUCCAUGAAGAUACCUGUAAAGUGUAUAUCAUAGGCACUCUAUAAGUUAUAGCUAUUAUUGUUAGUUCUUGGGACACUCACCGCGUGACAGAAACAACAGAAGGCCCUGGUGCCUGUGAGGACUUCAUGGAUCCAUCAGCAACCUGGAGUGGUGCUCCUCUGAAGAAAUCCUACUCGGAUGGAUAUAAUACAACCUGCUAAGUGUCCUAGCACUUAUCAGGUUGUAUUAUCAUUGUCCGAGUCUAUGGCUCUCGUCUACCAGACUAAAUUCCAUAAGGGCAAGGACAGUGCCUUAUUCAUCUUUGUAUUCACAGUGCCUAAUCCGGUGCACAUUGUAGGCCUCAUUAAAUGUUUGUUGAAUGAAAAAAUGAAUCAUCAACAGACAUUAAUUGGGCGCCUGCUCUGUGAUCUCCAUGGGCUCAGCUUGUCCCCGCCAGUUGCCUACAACGUCCAAGCUCUUCAAAAUGCUUACUCCUGAAGUUUACUCCUGUUUUCUAAUUCUUGUGCUGAGGACUUAUCUGUGUAUUGCAAUGAUAGGAAAUACACUUCAUCUCAAGUACCAUCUGCAGUUGACUAUAAUGCCUGCCUUGAUUGUGUUUUAUAAAAAGAAUUCCCAAGCCAGGUCUUACCUCAGUGUGAAAGAGAGUUAUAAAUAAUUAGUGAUAUUUGCUAAAGGUUGGCUAAAGUGGGGGUGGGACCUCAAGUGUUUCAUAUGUCAUUUGAUAUUGUAUACCUCAAUUUUAGUCUUGGCUAAUUGCAAAUAUUGCAUGCCUCCUGCUGCUGUUAUAAUUUUUGCCAAUUGCUUAUUGGGUUGGACCAGAGAAAUCACUGUUUGUGCAGGAGCCUCAUCCUCACAGCUUGGGUUCUUUGGUUGGUAUUCACAAUUUUUCCCUUUCAACUUCCUGGUAGCUAUCCACUUACCUGCAGUGGUAGGUAGUUUUCCACUUUCCUCUCUACCCAGUCACCAUGCUCAUAGUUCCUUUUUCUUAUUUAGUGUACUUAAUCAUUAGUCUUCCAUGAGAAUCUUCUUUUUGUAGAUGUGACAACCAGAAUACAAAUUAAACCACCCCUUUCUGUGCCCUACAAUGAGUUGUAUAGUCACUCUUCUAAUAUGGGGAAAAAAUGCAGUGUACUUUCAAGGCCAUGGAGCAGGAAGAGGAUGGGAGGGAAUCUUUGUAGAAGUGGGAAUGAGAUGAUAACAGGUGAAAUAACAUCUUCAAUGAUGAUACACGUAUUGGUUGAAGAAUGAAACCUAUGCUUUCUUAGAACAUAGGUAGAGGUUUACCCUUAGAUUAAAGGAACUACUACUUCACUAGAACAUAGGGACAGGAGUAAGGAAGAGAACAUGGCUGGUUUUUUAAGAUUCAUAAUUAUGAAGAUGGAUAAUGGAAAGGUAGCUAACCAGGAUUAUGAACAUGAAGCUGCUGGAACAGGAAGAUGAGUAGUUGGGACUAAAAUGAGUAAUAUCCAGGCCAAAAGGCUGAAGUUGGGCAAAACAACCAGAGCUUAUAGUAUAUUAAAGUGACAAGUCUGUAACCAGAUUAGAAACCCAGGAAAAUAUCAGUGGUUUUGAGCCACUGUCACAAGUAGUGUUUGGUUGCUUUGAUUGAUUGAGGAAUAGAUAGCUAGUAAGUGAGGAGCUACAUGGGAUUGGAUUUCAUUGCUUUUUGUCUAAUUUUUUUGUGGUGCUAGGGAUUGAAGGGCUUCACACAUGCUAGACAAGUACUCUACCACUGAGCGACAUUCCUAGCUCAGAAAUGAAUUCGAAAAAUCUAUAAUGGGCAUAGAAGGAGGUAAGGUCAGGAGUAGAUUCAAUCUGGGCACAGAAAUGAAGGGUUUUAGUAUAAAGAAGAUGGAGAUCUAGCACUUGGGAAAAUUGGAAUGAUAGCACCUAUAAUCAGAUUUUGGAGUGUUAAGAUUUCAGAACUGGAGUGAUCAAGAUAAGAUACCAGUGAAAUGGAUUUCAGGUGUGAUUUAUGUGAAUGUUGAAGUCCCCAAGGUUUAUAAUGUAAGGAAGGCCUGAAAUGUACUCUGGGCCAGGCACAAAAGCCUUCAAUGACUACAAAUGCUAGUGAUGAGAGGUUGUAAUGGGAUUGUAGCAUGAGUCUUAAAGAAUAGUGACAUUCCAGGUAACAUUCCAGGUAAUCCCUUUAUUAAGUACCCAUUCUGUACCUGCCAACUUGUUUUGUGCUAUCCGUUUACCUCUUGAAUCUGUCCCAUUUCACCUGUGUGAGAAUGUAUAGCAAUUCUUGUUAAACACAGUUAGAGAGGUUGCCGGACCUUAAUCCUGCUGGAAAUCUGUGGCCAUCUUCUAAUUCUUUGAAAAUAUAAUAGGCUAGUCAUUUUGGAGUAGCAUAAAAUUAUAUCUUUAGGUAGAUUUCUUUCCUUUGACCUCGAUUUAUGUUCACUAUAUGUAACAUGUUUUUGUUGACCAUGUUCUAUAAAGUACUUUGGUUUCAGAGCCUCUAAGGUGAAGGGAGAGCUACUGCUGCCCUGUGAAAAGUAAAGUACUUUAAAAUAUACAUUGCACAACUAGAACAAGACAUAGUUUUAUUAAUUAUCUAAUUCUGCUUUUAGGAUGUAGUAUAGAGAAAAGAAAGCUCACAUCAAUAGGUGAGUAGUAACCUGAUCACUUAGUUAACGCUAUUCUAGGUCAGGUUAUAUCCAGGUUAUAUCCGGUUUAGUGGCUUAUGGUGUAGAGUUUUUCCAUGAUGUUCAGAAAGAGAACGGGAAAUUGAAGCAUAGAGAUAUCCUUAUGGAAUUAGAAGGUAAAGCAAAGGAGAAGAGAGAUUGUGAACCUUUAACAUGGCAAGUAGAUUUUUCUUUUAUGAUUCAGUUUAUUUGGGAUAUGAUAAAUGGCUUUUGUUAGCACAGGUCUGAACACCAAGUUUGAGGCUGAAUUUGUUAGUGUUUCGGUGGGGAAGGUUCUUGUUAAUCAUUCUGUACCCAUUCCCCACCUGAUGUCAGGGUGGUCAUUGGAGAAGUUAUAGACAAGGACAGCAUCUCCAUGAACCCCAGCCCCAUGAUUUACUCCUUAUGUUUCAACAAGUCAUAAAAUUACUGGAUGGCCUUCUCUACUUCAAUUUCUGGUUAUGACUUGUUCAGAUAUUAGCAUUUUUUUUUAGGACACAUGUAAGGAAAGAAAUUUUAUGGAGUAAUCGCUUUCCUCUGUUAUGGAUGAAUGGUAUAGGACAUAGAAGGGAAAGUGUGAUCAAUCCCUAGAACACCCUUGAUCACACCUUAUGGUGCCUUACCCUGGGUCUGUCUAAUUUCUUUAUGGAGUCUUAGUGAAAAUUUUGCUGUCACUAACCUCUGUCCAUUUUUCUUCCCCCAUCCUGAUGAAUUUCAGCAGGUCUCUCUUACUUUCCUUCUCCCUAGGCCAUAUCAGCUCCAUUCUCUUUCUGGGAGGAGCUUUAUUGUCAACUAGUGAAUAUAAAGAGAGAGGCAAUGAGGACAGAAGAAGGCGAGGGAGGCUUUGGAAUACCAUGGUAGAGGAACAAAUGCUUUGCCUUUUUUAGUGGUUAAUGGACUAUUAAGUUUGUAUGGAUGAAGGAAGGAAACCUGCAAUCUCUGAUAUUGUGAGUGAAUUUAGGAGUGAAUUCCUUAUUGCCCUUAUGAAUGGAGACAGGAAAGGUGAAAAGUGAGAGAUGACAUAAUAUGCUUUGCUUCAAUGGAGUAGGCAAUGAGACUUACUUCAAAAUUGGAAAUUAAAUUGGAGAUCUAAUUCAAUUGGAUUGGAGAGUUGUUGUUCUUCCUUAUCUCUGUUGAAUAGAGAUUUUUGUUAACCCAAUUGAGAACCCACCCACAACAAAUUUUGCAACCUAGAAUUCUCUGUGGCAGGGUGUUAAAGGUACCUAGGACAUAGUUCAGGAACAGUGGGCAGAAUGGCUCAACGCAGUCCAAAACACAGUUAUCUGGCAGAAGGAAAAAAUAUUGUCAAUGAAAGUUCAGUCCUUAGAACUAUUUGUCAUUCCCCAAGGCAUAUUGGAGUAUCUAUGUUUUAUAUCUUAUCUUUUAAGAAAAAACUGCUUCCAAGAAGGACUAUAAAAGAUUCUUUCAUGGAAGAGAGAAGAGGGAAAACUACCAAUUAAAUAAGAUUAUAGCUUUUCAAGAUUUUUUUUUUUUAAAGAUUUCCUAUGUGGGUCAUGGAGAUGUAUUUCAGUAUCACUUGUGGCUUACUAGUGCAGUUUAACUUUAACUUUUAUGGUCUUGGAGUGAUUCAGACACCUGCUCACUUUGUCAGGUAUUUGUUAGUAGACUCAGGUACUUAAAGGAACAAGUUGACAACCUCCCAGUGGACAAGAGUCUGGCCUUUUGAGUGAAGUAGCAACUUUAAAAAAAAUCAUGGGAUUGGCUAGAUUGGGCUAGUCUUUUUUAAAAUUUUAAGUAAAAAACUUUUUUCUUUGAUAAUAAAAGUAACGGAUAGUCAUCAUUUAAAUGAUACAGUGAAAAGUAUACAUUAAAAAGUAAAGAACAUGUAUAAAUUUAUUAGCCAUAAAACAAUAAUUUGUAACAUUUGGGUUUAUUUCCCUUAAAGUCUCAAAAACUAAGUGUAUUUAAUAUAAUUUUAUAACAACUGACAUUGUAUAUGUUUUUUCCAUUUGAAAAUUGACAAGCAUAUUUCCAUGUCAUUAUUGUUGUUUGAGAAACAAAACAUUAAGUGCUAAAUAGUAUAUGGCUCUAACAAAUUUUAUUUUGAUGAUACCAGGUUGCUGCACAUUUUGGAUAUUGCAAAUAUUGCUUAUAAAAUUUAAAUGUAAUGAAUAUCAUUGUAAAUUAAUGUUUCUAUGUAUCUCUUUAAAAUAAAUUUCUAAAAAAUUGGUAUUAUUUGGUUUGAAUGAUGAGAACAGUAUUAGAACAUCAAUUCAAAGAUGAUGUUUAAAUUGUUCUCAGUAAAGUUGUAGGGAUUAUAUUCCUACCAGUCAUGUACAAAUGUGAAUAUUUCUUUACACAUUCAUCAAAGCAUGGUUUUUCUAUUUGUAAAUCUCUACUCAUUUGAUAGAUAAAAAUGUACUUUUGUUGUCUUUAAAGUUUUAUUUCUAAUUUAUACACAGUAAACAACUCUCUGUAUGUCAUAUAGUUCUAUGGAUUUUGACAAAUGCAUGUAGUCAUGUAUAUUCCAAUCCAUUCAGUUUAUCAAUCCAAUUAUUCCAAUCCAAUUCAGUUAUCAAUUUAAUAAUUUUUAUAUUUGAUCCAUUUCUACCCCACAAAUCUGGACACCAUUGAUUUGUUUCCAUCCCCAUGGUUUUGCCUUCAUCAGAAGGUCAUAUAAAUGGAAUCAUGCAAUAUGUGGACUUUUUGUCUGGCUUCUUAUUCACUUAGUAAAAUGCAUUUAAGCAUCACUCAUGUUGUUAUGUGUUUCAUUGGAUCAUUUAUUUGUAUUCCUGAGUCAUUUCAUUGUAUGGAUGGACCAGCUCCUUAUCCUUUCACUAACCAAUGGACACUUGAGAUAGUUCUAGUUUUGAUGAUUAUGAAUAAGUUUGCGAUCAACUUUUAGGUACGAAUUUUGUGUGAACAAAAAUGUUCAUUUCUGUAGGUUAAAUGUGUAGGAAUAGAAAUGAGUAUCAAACUAUUUCCUAAAUUGUUUUUAUCAGUUUGCAUGUUCACCACAAAAAUACAAGCGUUCCAAUGGCUCCACAUCAUUAGCAUUACUUGGUAUUUUAUAUAUAUGUGUGUGUGUGUGUGUGUAUAAUCAUAUAUAUAUGUAUAUAUAUGAUUUUUAGCUAUCAUGAUUGAGUUUGCAGUUCUCUGAGGACAUGUGGUGGUGUGUAUGUUUUCAUAUGAUUAUCUGACACAUCUGAAUCUUUUAUUUUUUUUUUUCCUCUUGAGACAGUAUUUCCCUUUGUUGCCUAGAUUGCUCUCAAACUGACAAUCUUCUUGCUUCAGCAGCCCAAAUAACUGGGAUAGCAGGAAUGCGCCACCACACCUGGCUUGUAAAUCUCUUGAACACUUAUUUUUCAAAUCUUUUGUGCCACUUUUUACUGGGCUUUUCCUUUUCUUACUGUUUUUUAUAUAUUCUUUGUAUAAUUCCUUUAAGAUACAUUAUGUUGAAAAAUGUUCUCCCAGUUUGUACCUCAUUUCAUUCUUUUAACACUACCUUUUUCAGAGCAAAGGUUUUCAAUUUUGAUGAAGUCCACUUUUUCACUUAUUAACAUUGUAGAUUAUGCCUUCUGUGUGACAUGUAAGAAUUCUUGUCUACUCUUUGUCAUGAAGAUUGUCACAUCUUUUCAUGUAUUCAUCUAGUAAUGUUAUAGUUUUACACUUAUAUUUAAUAUCUGACCCUUUAAAAGAUACAUAAUUUUAUUGACAUCACAUGGUUCAUGAAUUUUUUAAAAAAAUGUUUAUGGUUUAGUUGUAGUUGUCAGUACUUUAUUUUUUAAGUGGUGCUGAGGAUCGAGCUCAGGGCCUCGCAUGUGCAAGGUGAGCUCUCUACCGCUAAGCCACAACCUCAGUCGGGUUCAUGCAUAUUUUAAUUUCAACUUACACUGUCCUAAAUUAUGAAGUGAUUAAAAUUACAUCCAAUUAUAAUAUGUAGAUAAAAAUAUAAAAAAUGUUAUUAACUGAUCUGGAGGAACCUACUCAAUGACACGGAACAAGAAAAAGAAAUCAUGAAAAAUUAUGAACAAUCAUAGAUAUGUUAGUUUUAAAAAGCCUUCUAUAGAACUACAGUUUUCAGCUGUAAUCACAAAAUGAUUACCGAGGUAUGUUGAAUUACUGACAUUCAUUAUAUGGCAGAAAAUUUCUACAUAAAAUCCAUUAUGGCCAUUCAUAAAGAGCAUUGAUGUGACAGCUUGAAUAAAUAUCUAUUAAUUAUAUUAACAUUGUAAUAGCUAAACCUAGAUGUCUUCAGAAAUGUGCAUGGAUUUGCUAGAGACCCCCAAGAACAAUAUCAAGAGCUAUUAGGUCAUUAUACCCUCACAGGGAAAGGGGAAUGUACUGGGAGAUGUACUGGGAGAUCGAGGGAAAGAAGGAGCCUUAAAGAAUUUGAAAGCAUGAUAAACAGGGCAGGACAUGUCUAUGAUAAGAAGAGAAAUAAACCUAGUUUUCUGAAAAACAGUUUCAACUACCGUAAGUGUGGCUUCUUUCUUGAUAUUUGGACUUCUCAUCUGUGUCCUCUGCUUCAUUAUCUAACAUCUUGGUGUUGUAUAGUUUUGGUUGUAGAGGUCCUUUACUUCCUUCAUUAGGCUAAUUCCCAAGUAUUUUAUAUUGGUGGUUUAUUAUGAAUGGGAUAGUUCUCCUAAUUUCUUUUUCAGAAGAUUCAUUAUUGGAGAAUAACAAAGUGAUUGAUUUUAUAUGUUGAUAUGUAUGCUUUAAUAUUUUCAUCUAAGCCCGGCAGCCAGCUGCAUUUGUGCAUGCCUGAAAUCCCCAAAUACAAGAUCAACAUACAAAUUUAUUAGCUCUAGAAGUGUUCUGGUGGAAAUUUUUAUCUUCAUAGCCAAUAGGUAAUUUGACUUCCCAUUUGUGUCCUUUAAUUUCUUUU